GUGGGGAAUAUUGGACAAUGGGCGAAAGCCUGAUCCAGCCAUGCCGCGUGUGUGAAGAAGGUCUUCGGAUUGUAAAGCACUUUAAGUUGGGAGGAAGGGCAGUAAGUUAAUACCUUGCUGUUUUGACGUUACCGACAGAAUAAGCACCGGCUAACUUCGUGCCAGCAGCCGCGGUAAUACGAAGGGUGCAAGCGUUAAUCGGAAUUACUGGGCGUAAAGCGCGCGUAGGUGGUUUUGUAAGUUGGAGGUGAAAUCCCCGGGCUCAACCUGGGAACUGCCUCCAAAACUGCAUGACUAGAGUACGGUAGAGGGUAGUGGAAUUUCCUGUGUAGCGGUGAAAUGUGUAGAUAUAGGAAGGAACACCAGUGGCGAAGGCGACUACCUGGACUGAUACUGACACUGAGGUGCGAAAGCGUGGGGAGCAAACAGGAUUAGAAACCCUGGUAGUCC
rnacentral:rRNA from 1 species